CAAGUGAGAAUGCCGGUAUGAGUAACGAAAAGACAAGUGAGAAUCUUGUCCGCCGAAAGCCUAAGGGUUCCUGAGGAAGGCUCGUCCACUCAGGGUAAGUCGGGACCUAACGCGAGGCCGAAAGGCGUAGUGGAAGGACAACAGGUUGAAAUUCCUGUACCACCGUAAACCGUUAUGAGCAAUGGGGUGACACAGAAGGGCAGUGACGCGGGCUGAUGGAA
rnacentral:rRNA from 1 species